rnacentral:rRNA from 1 species
AACUGCAAGUCGAGCGGACAGAAGGGAGCUUGCUCCCGGAUGUUAGCGGCGGACGGGUGAGUAACACGUGGGUAACCUGCCUGUAAGACUGGGAUAACUCCGGGAAACCGGAGCUAAUACCGGAUAGUUCCUUGAACCGCAUGGUUCAAGGAUGAAAGACGGUUUCGGCUGUCACUUACAGAUGGACCCGCGGCGCAUUAGCUAGUUGGUGGGGUAAUGGCUCACCAAGGCGACGAUGCGUAGCCGACCUGAGAGGGUGAUCGGCCACACUGGGACUGAGACACGGCCCAGACUCCUACGGGAGGCAGCAGUAGGGAAUCUUCCGCAAUGGACGAAAGUCUGACGGAGCAACGCCGCGUGAGUGAUGAAGGUUUUCGGAUCGUAAAGCUCUGUUGUUAGGGAAGAACAAGUGCGAGAGUAACUGCUCGCACCUUGACGGUACCUAACCAGAAAGCCACGGCUAACUACGUGCCAGCAGCCGCGGUAAUACGUAGGUGGCAAGCGUUGUCCGGAAUUAUUGGGCGUAAAGGGCUCGCAGGCGGUUUCUUAAGUCUGAUGUGAAAGCCCCCGGCUCAACCGGGGAGGGUCAUUGGAAACUGGGAAACUUGAGUGCAGAAGAGGAGAGUGGAAUUCCACGUGUAGCGGUGAAAUGCGUAGAGAUGUGGAGGAACACCAGUGGCGAAGGCGACUCUCUGGUCUGUAACUGACGCUGAGGAGCGAAAGCGUGGGGAGCGAACAGGAUUAGAUACCCUGGUAGUCCACGCCGUAAACGAUGAGUGCUAAGUGUUAGGGGGUUUCCGCCCCUUAGUGCUGCAGCUAACGCAUUAAGCACUCCGCCUGGGGAGUACGGUCGCAAGACUGAAACUCAUAGGAAUUGACGGAGGCCCGCACAAGCGGUGGAGCAUGUGGUUUAAUUCGAAGCAACGCGAAGAACCUUACCAGGUCUUGACAUCCUCUGACAACCCUAGAGAUAGGGCUUUCCCUUCCGGGACAGAUUGACAGGUGGUGCAUGGUUGUCGUCCAC